CUUUUGCCCAUGGUGUCUUUUGUUUUAACCUCUUCAAAGUGGAUGUAAAGUGCUAACAGCAACAUGAUAGCACUCACCUUGUGCUCGUUUGCUUGCAAAGUGGCAAAUCCGGGGAGCCAGUCCCUAAAGCUGCUUUGUGAUGGGCUGCAGCUGGCUGGACAGGCUAUUGCAAGCAAGCAGAUAGCAUUCAGAGCUGGGAAAAGGAGAGCUGGGCUGGAGACUGAAUCACAAGAAGGAGUCUGGUGCAGCUUCACUGACACUUGUGGUUUCCUGGGCUGAGCCAGAGGAUUUCGAUCUUACAGUUUUGAAAAUCUGUGUGUGCAUGCACACGUUUGUCCAUGCUGCCUUGGACCCCGUGGCGUUUGGUGUUGUACAGGUUUGCAAAGAAGCUAUUCCUGCCUGGGAGAGUUUGAUACGACAUACGUGAGUGAGAGGAAAGGGAUCAAAUGCAUAUGCCAGUGAACGUGUGCGUGUCUGUAGUCAGUGAGGACUGCAGGCGGUGUUCCCAUCCUGCUGGCUUCAGUGAGGCAGGAGCACGCCCGAGAGCUCGAGGUGCUCAGCGGACGGCUUCGAACCGCGCUGAGCUGAGUAAACCGGGCAGGUUUACACAGGGCAAGGCAACAAGACCAGAGUUCAGAAAUCUGGUAAAGCUCUUCAGCGGUUAAUACAGGAAACUCUCAGUCCCUUUGGUGACCGACUCGUCAAACGGUUCGCUGCUGCUUGUGUUCUGUACGCGCUGGCAAUUGCCCGUCUGCGUCGCUUAAGGUUCUGCGGUUCUUCAGCUGUGAUGUGUUCAGCUAUUUUGGUGAAAUUCUUCUGCAGGGGUGGUUUUGUGUUCGCUUGUUUUUCCACUCAAGAGCUCGCCGUUCAUUUCUCUCUGCUGUGAUUGACUUCGAUCCCUGCAGAAGACUGGAAGGCAGGGCGUUGGAAAGGAACUGCUCAGAGCUGGUGAGGGGCUACUGCUGCACAUCUGACCCACGGUGUGCCUGAGCAGGGCUUCUGCUGCCUGCUUCUGCUGCCUGAGGCUGAUCAGGUCAGCUCAGAAAAAGGAACACCAAGGCUCUUCUCAAAGUCAGGGAUUUCUUUAGGAAAGUGGACUUGGAAGCUCUCCUCUUUCUGAAUUACAGAAGAAAAGUUUAUUUUGCUUUUAAGAAUAAUUAGGUAGUCAGGUUUCAUUUUGGAUACCAACUUGACACGGAAAAUCUUUCCAAACUUUUAACUCCUAUUCCCUUGCAUGUUGUGGACCACCCGGCCAAUAGGAUUUUAGAAGGAGCGGAGCAGGAACUGACCCCUUACAAGAUCAGUGCCAUGCACUUCAUCUCUUGCAUUCAGAAGUCUGGCGACUAAUGUAUUUUCUUACAGACUAAUUGUGCCCAUUAACUCCCUAUUUCUUUUUGGAGAUGGUGCAUCAGAACCAAAUGAGAAGACACCAAGAGGAGAUGCUCUUUUUUCAUUAUGAAAUGCUCUGUGAAAGCCUGUGUAGGUGUUUGGAAAAUACACCCUUUCCCUAGGCAAUGGUCAGACCUGCUGAACUCAACAGUAGUGCUUGGUGUAUUUUGCCUUCAGGAUUCAUCUCAGGUAAAGGGAGCUCUAGGAGGUUAUUUGUUACAGAGUCCUGAAGGAAAGGCUCAGAGACCCCAAGACAGAGCCAGGUGAUGCCAACCAGGUUCUAGCAUCGGGCUGACCAUCCUGCGCAGAGCCACGUAAAGCCGCGUAUCCACGCCUCUGCUAUCUGUGUAAGGAAGACACCAGCAGAAAUGGAGUGAAAAAGUAAUUCACCAUUAAAAUUGUUACAGCUCUCAUCAUCAAGGCUGGAACUGUCUGAGCUGUGCUCCCUUACUGUCCUUUUAAACAAACAAACAAAAAAACACAACAGCAACAGUUUUACCCCAUGCAGAACCUUAUUCAUGCUGUGCCUUAUAUGCAAGAGGAAAUUCAACUCAAUUAUAUUUAUCGUUCAUGAGAAUGGUGAAGGAUUUUUUAAUCAUGCUUUUCAAAAACUUAGUGAUGUAAUUGCUGAGAAGUUAAUGUGCCUUCAAAAUCAUAUUUAUGUGGGAUAGAAGGCCAAUAAAGCCUUGUUUAUUGGCACAUGUCUGGGAAGGCUGCAUUAGUUACAAGGUUAAAACACGAAUCUGAUCACACGAGAUCUGUAAUUGCUUUGUGCAGCUCAACCUUCAGAGCUUCGCAGUGGCGGCGAGCCAAAAUUCCCUCCUUUGGAUGCCUGCUCCAAAAGCCCGGCCACCCAUCAGCUGACCCCAGGUCUGGCCCCGACUUCCUUCCAGUGGGCUGGGGCCGGUGAGGCGCAUCCGACCGCCCGUGACUUCAUCCAGCAGAGAUGUGCUGCGUGUGGCUUUUCUCUAGUGCCCUGAAUUUCUGUAAGCGGAUGGACGUGAGUCACUGGGGUGGAGGGGUUUGUACCUCUUCCUACACUUAACUUUUCACCAGGCCUCGGUCUACAAAAUGAAACUUUUUUUUUUUCCCAAAACUGUUUAUUUUGCUGGAUGCACAGAUUUUUGGCACAGCAGAUCUUUGCUGUCUCAGAUCCCUACUGGGCACUGCAGGUGCUGCAUGGGACAGGCUCCUGGCCAGGGCUUCGUGGCUGUGGGGCUGCAGUCACCCAGGCUGGAUGGCCACAUCCCCCGGCAGGGUGACAUCCCUGGGCUGCUGGGGCUGGAGACAUGGCAGUGCGUCCCUGGGAAUGGUGGCAUCCCUGCCCUCCUGUCACGGGUCCCUGGGGCUGGAAACAUAGCAGCAGGCUUGGAUGGAUGUUAAGAGGCACCAUGAAUGUUUUAAUCAGUGGUGAAUGGCAAGGCUGUUGGAACCACUAGUUGUAUAAAUACUGAAAUUUAGGCUCAGAAAUUUUAUGUCCCAGUAAGUGAAGUGCGAGGAAAAGGGGAGUGGUGGCCAGCGUGCUCUUCGUGCCUCCCCUCCCAUUCUCUGCACUGCCCCCAGCAUUGCUCUCUAGAUCCGUGUGUCCCUUUCAUGUUGUUUGGAAACUUCAGGUGACAGUAGGAUCUCUACAGCCUCAUGUCUGCAUUUUUAGCUGAAUAACAAACCAGGCGAGGGUCCCUUCCAGAUUACUCUGCCUGGCAUGGAGGAGCAGGAGAUGACAGCGGAUGUUCUGCUGCCCCCCAGUUUCAAAUAAGCUGUGGACAAGACUCCUGUUGUGUUUGAGUAGCAUGGUAUUUUCUAAAGUGAUUAGUGUUUGGCUUGAUCUUGCUAAUCUCAACAUGAACGACCUCUUUGAGGGCAGAUUUCAAAAUCCCGAGAGAUCCAUCUCUGGUACGAUCUUACACAAGCACGCAGUAGCCUUGAGUGGUUGGUGUUUUGCAUAAGGCCAGUAAUCUGAUGGAGUGAGUAACAUACUGAUACUGCAGAAGCGUAGACACUCAAAUAGAUGUUUGCGAAAGGGCUGGAAUUCCCUCCUUUGUUUCACUUUGUUUUCCCACUGCUCUGCAGUCAGACACAGACGAACACCAGGGAAAGCAAACAAUCUGCAUUGCCACUUGUACAAUGGGAGGAAACGGGAACUGCACAGGUUUAAAAAAAAAUGGACAGAAAAACUAUUUCUGGUUGCUCUUGGGCCGUGAAGGCUGUGGUACAGUCGUUUGCAUCAGGAGUAAAAAAAAUGUCCUUUUCCUCAAGGCUGUUGUACCAUUGAAACGGCUCUUGUCCGUCCCUCUCCUCUAGCUGGUGUGGCUUGGGCAGAAUUUCAAGUGAUUGAUAAAAAUCAUACAUUCUGAUCUCUUCUCUGGCUAACGGGUUGCUAUUGUAGUUUACGGGAAGUCCUGUACCACUGCUGCCUUAGUUGUCUUCUACAGUGAACUCAGUUCCAGUGCUGUUGUUUUCUUUCUUGUUUCUCUAAGUGUGUGACAUAAAUAGGAGCACCGGGAGGAAUUCCAGGGUUUUGUUGGGUUUUGUAUGUUUAUUUAUUUAUUUUAAUCUUACCCCUGAAACUUAUAAAACUAAAAAAAAAUACGGAAAUUAUCAAACUAGUAUUUUUCAGUUUGGGUGAGCGUGCAAAAUGCUUACCUACUUCUGGGAUGCGAUAAAACUAGGGAGGGAGGGAAGCAAUGGAAGGAGCAGAAUGACCUGCACAGAAAUAGGGCAGUGGUGUUUGCUAGGAAAGGAACGUGCUUUUCACUGAAAACUCAAGUCAUUUUGCUAUAUACAUUUGCUGACGUUUGCAAAAAUACCCUUUUUAGUUUGGAAUGCAGUGUUUUCAUUUUUUGGAAUGCUUUCAUUUCUAUGCACGUACUAUGUAUCUAAUAUUUAUUAAUUUAACAUGCUUUGCCUUAAAGUGCACUGAGUGUUAUUAA